rnacentral:lncRNA from 1 species
CCUGAGAGUUUGGGGGCAGACCCUGCAAUUGGUCUAGAUUGCUCGGUAGAAGGGUUUAAAUUGACACCUGGGACAAGUUGAAUUGCCGGGACAGGCCCUUGAAUUGGCCUGACAGGGAUAUGAAUUGGCCUGGCAGGGACAUUCCGACAGUCAGAAUUGGCCUGUCCGGGUGCCGAAUUAGCCUGGCGGGACAUUCCGACAGUCAGAAUUAGGCUGACAGGGUGUCGAAUUGGCCUGGCAGGGACAUUCGGACAGUCAGAAUUAGCGUGUUCAGGGUGUCGAAUUAGGGAAGCACGGGAAUUGUGCGACCGGGGCAGUCAAAAGAAUUGCUCUGCCCGACAGUUUGUCCUACCCUCUA